rnacentral:rRNA from 1 species
GUUAAAAAGCUCGUAGUCGGAUUUCAGUAUUAGGCCCUUCUUCCAAUACGGUUGCUAGUGGUCUUUACUUCCUUAACAGAAUCUUUCAUCUCAUUAAUUUGGGGUGUUUGGGGCCUGUUUCUUUUACUUUGAGAAAAUUAGAGUGUUCAAAGCGGGUUUUCGCCUGGAUAUUACUCUUGGAAUAAUAAUAUAGGACUUUGGUUCUUUUUUGUUGGUGACAUAGAACCGAAGUAAUGAUUGAUAGGGACAGUUGGGGUCAUUCGUACUAUGAAGCGAGAGGUGAAAUUCAUGGACCUUUGUAUGACGAACUACUGCGAAAGCAUUUGACUAGGAUGUUCCCGUUGAUCAAGAACGAAAGUUGGGGGAUCGAAGACGAUCAGAUACCGUCGUAGUCUCAACCAUAAACUAUGCCAGCUAGGGAUUGGAGGAAGAUCAUUUUACGUCUCCUUCAGCACCUUAUGAGAAAUCAAAGCAUUUGGGUUCCGGGGGGAGUAUGGUCGCAAGGCUGAAACUUAAAGGAAUUGACGGGAGGGUACCACCAGGAGUGGAGCCUGCGGCUUAAUUUGAUUCAACACGGGAAAACUUACCAGGUCCGGACAUGGGAAGGAUUGACAGAUUGAAAGCUCU